ACAGACAUGGCCGAAAAAGAUUAUAUAAAUGUAUAAAGUAUUGCCAGUAAUAUUAAAUGGCACAUUUUUUAAGCCGGACAAUCAAAUUCGAUGAUAAAUCUGCACAAACACCUUAAGGGGGUUACACGGAGUAAGAGGCCAUGAAAGCUAAGAAAACUAAAACUAAUAUGGAACUUUCUAAGGAAAAUUCAAAAUAGUUUUUCGGUUCCCUGAGUUCAGCCCAGAUCAAUCAGAAAGUGUGCAACUACAUCGUGGGGGAAAUUUUACCAAAAUCUCACGUUGAGCAUUACACAAAUUUAACAGCUUAACAUAAAUAUAAACGCAUUUUGGAUGUAUUCCUAAAAUGCAAUAAAGUUCUACCCAGCUCUGCGCCAGUUGAAAUAUUUUAUGUUGUGGAGGUCAAAUUGUAACCCCAAUACGAAACUAGCUGGGGGACGAGUUUUUCGAAGAGGAAAAACCUGAAACCUAGACUUAAGUUAAGUAAUCUUAAGUUGAAUUGAUUCGCCAAUGUAAUAAAACAAACAAACAAAUAAAAAAAACAAAAAAAUAUUUUAAAAAACAA